rnacentral:rRNA from 1 species
CCUACGGGAGGCAGCAGUGAGGAAUAUUGGUCAAUGGGAGAGAUCCUGCACCAGCCAAGCCGCGUGAGGGAAGACGGACCUAUGGGUUGUAAACCUCUUUUGUCGGAGAACAAAACCCGGUGCGUGUCCCGGACUGCGUGUAUCCGAAGAAAAAGCAUCGGAUAACUCAGUGCCAGCAGCCGCGGUAAUACUGAGGAUGCGAGCGUUAUCCGGAGUUCUUGGGUUUAAAGGGAGCGUAGGCGAGCCGUUAAGUCAGCGGUAAAAUUGCGGGGUGCAACCCCGUCGAGCCGUUUAAACUGGCAGACUUGAGUUGGCGAGAAGUACGCGGAAUGCGCGGUGUAGCGGUGAAAUGCAUAGAUAUCGCGCAGAACUCCGAUUGCGAAGGCAGCGUACCGGCGCCAGACUGACGCUGAGGCACGAAAGCGUGGGGAUCGAACAGGAUUAGAUACCCUAGUAGUC